ACUGAGCAGGACGGCCCAGUUUAUGACAGAUACAGGACUUCAAGUGUGAUGCGAUCGAGAGGGUCUCGCACUCACUGAUUGUGAAACAAACACGAGUUGUCGCCUGAUGAAAGAACAAACCCAAACAAACCCAAAAACAAAGACAAAAACAAAAACAACAACCCGGGCAAGGUAUAUAAGUCGACCAUAAUGUGUUUUCCUUGAUAGUUCACCAGGUACAACUUUGACUUUGAGACAGAAAACAAGUUUUAGUAACAGCCUGAGCCUUCGCGUUGUGACCAUUCGAAAGUAUGCAGUUCACAGCUUGGUUUGCCCUAGUUGCCAUGGCAACGUACACUGGGGCGUCCGUCCUCCCCUCCUCCUCCUCCUCCUCCU